CGAAGCUGCUGCCGCGGCUAAACCUGCUGCCUGCGCGCCCGCACCCGCCCGCCGGUUCUCGCCCCGCGCUGCUCACUGCGCGCGCCGCCCCACCUCGCGCUGCCACCGCCUGCGCACCCCACUCGGCCUCUGCGAGCGCGACCAGGGCGAGCCACUGCCACUGCCCCCGCCGCUCUCCCCGCGCUCGCCGCACGCGCUGCCCGGCUGCGCGGCCCGCUCCCCUCUCCUAUCCCCUCCCGCUGCUGCCGCCGCCCGCCCUCGCCCCCGCCUCUCUCCUUCACUGUGCCUCCCCGCCCGCGUGGUGGCCAAUCGGAGGCGACUAAGCUGCAGUGGUAACCGGCCGGAUCCACGGCAGCCGCCCGCCCCCGCCCUGCCUAAGCGCCCCGUUUUUUGCUGCAGCCCACGGGGGGUCGCCGGAGGGAAACCAAGGGUUCGCAGAGCUCCGCUCGGGCAGGUGGAGGGGCUGCGGGAAAUAAAAUAACUUGCGCAUGAACUUGAUUGGUGGCAGGUUUCUCUUUGGACCACGAUGGGGAUUCGGAGAUUAGGAAUCGGGAGGCAUGCCUCCUUGGUAGCCGAACGCACACUUUUGUGUUUUGUCGCUCUUUCGAGAUAGAUUAUUUUUCUAGGCCAGGGCAGACACAGCAAACUAGCGACGCAGGCAAAGCCUAUCCUGUCCAUUGUUGUCUGAGGCGCUUGCCUCCAGCCACCUGCGGGCCGGCAGGACGGAGGCCGCGGCUCCUCUCCGGUGCUGGUUCCUCUCUCAUCUUUGCGGAUGUACCGGAACAGCCCAAGUUUGUGUUCUUGUUUUGUUUUCUUUUGUUCCCUCUGGGAGUUUGAGAGUGCCUGUUAUUUUAUUUGAAGUCUCCGUUUUAUAUUUCUACUCAUUAGUGGUACAGUUCACAUUUUUUAGGAAACGAUUUCAGGGACUUGACCUCCACCGGACACCCCUACCCCCACCCCCACAACAGUAACAACAACAGUGAAAAAAGAAAAGAAAAAGGAGGCAGGAAGCAACCUAAAAGCCAGAACUGGGCGUGAAAAUAGGAUUAUCUAAAAAGAUAAAAUAACUGAUGCAGAGUUCGCACCAAGUAAAGGAUUUUAAUUCCUUCUUUUAAGACAUGAACUUGGAGUGGAACAAAAAGUGAGAGACUUUACAAGUUUGGGUUACAAGCAUUUGUGGAAUGGAGGGAGGGGUGAAGAGCAAUUGAUUUUAGCAAGGUAAUUUUUUCCAGAACUUUUCUUUUCUCAGGUUUUACAGGUAAAUAAAAAUAUCGGUUUUAUCUAAGCGUUUCAACACUUUGGAGGUUAUCAAACUCCCUUUCAAUUAGUGAAUAUGACCUUUCCGCUUUGGGUAACUGAAGUAUUAACAUUAUUCGAAUCUAAGUUUCAGGGUCAUUUAAGAACUUGCUGAAUCUCUAAAAAUCAAGCACUAAUUUCUUUGACAUAAGUGAUGCGACUUUUAAUAAUGUACUAUUUCUAGUUAGGCUUUUUAAAAUGUAAUAUUUAUAGGGACACUUAUUCAAUUUUAAUUAAAACAAUAUUGUAGGCCAUAUCUUAAUGAAACUCAAAAAUAUUUCCUGGCUUUUUUCUCGAAAGAAUAAGGAAGGUCAUGUUAAUUUAAAGACCAAAGGCUCGGCUUUUUUUUUUUCUUUUUUCUCUUCUUUCCUGGAUAUUAUUGUCACACUAUUGCUAAUCGGUAUAAAUCUUCUCCUUGCAAUAGAAUAUAAGUUCCAUUUUCAAGGAGUCAUGCAUAAUAGUAAAACAUUCAGUAGCAAUAUGGGGAUAUAGUUUGUUGUACUCCAAAGUGGGAUUUAUAGAUCCUAUCUCCAUGCUUACGAAUUAAAUUGUGAUCCUGGACCUGCGGCCUUACCAUCCUCAGCACUCCCAGCAUUAGUUAUUGAUGUUCAUUGCCAUUGUGAUUAAACAUUUAAACAUCAUUCCCCUAAUAAAAUAAACUCUUAUUAUAACUUCAAAAUCUGCUUUAGAAUGCUUGUUAUUCAACUAAUUCUCUGAUUCCAAUAAUUUUUGAUCAUACAGGUAAGCACUUGCUUUUUUUUUUUGGUCUAGCUUACAUGCCUCUCACUCUUCAGUGGGUGUAAAUUGCUUUGGAAUCUUGCCUGGGUUUAACCUGAUCAUAUGGUCAGCUAAAUUUUGCUAAUCAACCCUUUAUCAGAGGAAGGAGUAGCCUAGUCUAAAAUCAUGUUAUUGGAGACUGUGCAUUCAUUUGAUGUUAAUAAAAGUAGAUUUAGUGUUGACUUUGGCACCUAACACAACUUUACUUCCAUUGCACCACACUUGAUAAUCUAAUGGGGCCAUUCAUUUCUCCAGGCAAAAGGGGAGCAAACUCAGAUUUUCAGCCUCUACUCAAAGCAGUGCCAAUCUGAAGACUAACUUUCCAUUAGCCUGCAGAAGUACAGGGCUGUUGGGGACUUGGCAGUGACCAAGAGAAACAAUAGGGGCUGCUGCUGAUUUACUACAAGAGGUGUACAAAUGAAUAUGUGCACCAAGCAUUGUGGAAAGAUUGAAUAAAUGAUGUCUCCUGCACAUAUAGCCAGUUUUCAUAGCACUUGAAAAUCAAACAAUGUUUUCAUGGAAAAUAUAACCAAGGGAGUAACUCAAAGUACAUAUGGUCAAGUAAGAGUCAAGGGACAGAAAUCCACAACCUUUUUGGUCACCAUGGACCAGUGCUCCUAUGAGAUGCCUGAUGAUCUGAGGUAGAGCUGAGAUGAUCUGAAGUAGAGCUGAGGUGGUGAUGCUAGCGCUGGGGAGCGGCUGCAAAUACAGAUGAAGCUUCACUUACUUGCCUGCCACUCACCUCCUGCUGCGUGGCCCAGUUCCUAACAGGCCGCUGCCUGCCUGGGGGUUGGGGACCCCAGCUCUAAGAGUACAAAACAAGUAUGGUCCUCCAAAAUGUUGCAUUUAUGUUAAACAACCAAUAUCAUAAUUAGUAUUUUUUCCAGAAGUCAAAUUCUUAAAUCUUUAUGCAAAAUUUUGAACAUAAAAACAUUUACAUCCUUAUUUACCAUCUUCCCAGCUUCUAUUUUCGCUUAAAUAUAUUUGCCUUUGACCACAAUCUUCUUCACUAAGCGUUUCUCCAAAACUCAUAGGUGAAUAGUUUCUUAGCUUUCUGACUGAUGCUGUAUUUAAAAAUCUGUAUUUAUUCUGAGUCAGUUUACAAUACCUUAAAAACAAGCAAGAAAAAGAAAGUAGGGAGGGAAUAAUUGGAGAGGAAAGAACAAAAAAACACUCAGUUACCCACAUGUUGAAUUUUUCUAUGCUUUGAUUAAAUGCCUAAUCCUAAAA